ensembl:lncRNA
GAGAGCAAAACCAAGCCGAAUUAACUGUGCCUUUGUGUCCCAGCCGUUGCCUGUGGAGAAAGAGAGUGAGCACCCCGAGAACGAACUGUGUGAACCAGUACUUACCGUGAGCUGUAUUCAGCGAAGAGGAGGAAGAAGGAGGGCGCUACGGAUACCUAAGACUCAGGCCGGGGCCCGAGUCCCACGCCCCGGAUCCCCGUGGCCCCCUUGCUCCCUGACCUCUUCCCGGCCAUAGCCCAUCUGGAGGGCCGAGUCAGAGUUUAGUUUUAAUUGCCCUUUCCCUAUUCCCCAAGCUAUUUUUAAAUAUUUAAAUAAAGAUUGUUUUAUCACUUACUUGUUCUCGUGUUGUUUGGCCAUUGGGUUGGCUUUGGGGACCUCCUCGAGGUGGAAGUUGAGAAGGGGUGUGGCUUAGUCAAAGCAUAGCCAGCCCCUGGGUGUGACAGAUUUGGCGUAGUCGGCAGGGUCUCCACCUCGAGUUGAGUAACCAAGGUCGUCCAAUGACCGACAACGCGGGGCCUUCAGCCCAACC